CAAGCUCAGUCAGCUCUUGUGUUUAAUAAUAUGCUUGGGCCUAGGCCUUUUUUCAUUUCUCUUUUCUUACUUCUAAUAAACCUGACGACUACUACUUCUAACAUUACUUGUUCUUCUUUGUACAUAUUCAAAGUAGUGACAAAAUGCUCUCUGUAGCGCCGUUUGUCCAUUUGGACUACUGAGACAUAGCUGGCACAACAUGGCAACAUCCAUGUAAGAGGACCCGUGGUGUAUGUGGCUCAUUCUAAGAUGCUCCUGAGUCCUCGCAGAGUCUGAGAAACAUCAGUCUGCACCGUUUCCCGGCAGAAACCUUAUCUGUGAGAGGUGUUUGUGUAAUGGCGUUUUCCAGCCUGGUCCUGCAGGUCACACUGUCUGGAGCAAAAAGAGAAGCAACAACUGAGGAAGAGACAGAGAGAAAGGACAAGGGGAGAAAGGAAACAGAACUAUGUAUAGCAGGUUAUUGGCCUUAUCAUACUUACAUGCUGGCUUUUCUGUACAGUGCCUUUCAGCAGGGUUGUGUUACUGAAGCGUAGACUUAACUGAGGGCAGGAAUACACAAAAGACAUCAAGACAAUUGUUUGAUUUUUUGUUUUGUUGUUUUGGUAGAAACUGUGCAUCUAUUCAGAUCACAGCAGCUUCAAUUUUUCUUUUCUCUCCGACUGCGCUUCCCAUUCACAUACAUCCACACCUACACCCACACACACUCGCAAAAAUGUACAAUUUAUCCGAAUACUUCCCACAUCUCUCCACCCACAUUCCCUUCCACACAGAGAUAGCAGCACAUGUAUAAUUGCAGUGUGCAACAGUGCGCACCUUAGAGGAAAUAAUUACCACCAUAAAAAGAGCAAUUACUAACCUGGCAGAGAGUUGCAGUGGAUUUUAAUGCUUCUGCCAGUAACGUCUGCUCACAUACCGCUCUUUGUUUGUUUGACUAAUGGUUUCUUUUGAAGAAUAAACGAGCCAUAUUUACCAAUACUAAAAUGCUGUCUGUUUUGUACACACAUUUAGACGUACAACACAGCUUGCAGGUUCUGUGACAAUCAGAGUGAGCAGUGAAUGCUGGGAAAAGAAACAGGGCUGAAGGUUACUACGAGUUUGAUUCAUGUAACCAAAUAAUAAAAAGAUUUAUAAGAAUUGACUGUUGAGAGAGAGGCCUGCUUCAAUUCACUACUUAAUAUCCAGUUUUGAUUAGCUGGCAUAAUUUUGAUCCUGUUCAUCUGUUACGAAUAAAUGCUUUCCAAACUGGC